GACGAACGCUGGCGGCGUGCUUAACACAUGCAAGUCGAACGGAAAGGCCCUGCAUUUGUGGGGUGCUCUAGUGGCGAACGGGUGAGUAACACGUGAGUAACCUGCCCUUGACUGUGGGAGAACUUCAGGAAACUGGGGUUAAUACCGGAUAGGAGCUCCUGCUGCAUGGUGGGGGGUGGAAAGUUUCGGCGGUUGGGGAUGGACGCGCGGCUUAUCAGCUUGUUGGUGGGGUAGUGGCUUACCAAGGGGUUGACGGAUCGCCGGCCUGAGAGGGUGACCGGCCUCCUUGGGCCUACGGGACGGCCCAGUGGGCUAUGGGGGGCAGUGGUGGGGAGUCUUGCGCAGUGGGGGGGAGUCUAAUGAGGAAGCCCUCGGGUCGGGAAGACGGCUUUGGGGUUGUAAACCGCGUUCGCCUGUGACGAAGCGUGAGUGACGGUAAUGGGUAAAGAAGCACCGGCUAACUACGUG
rnacentral:rRNA from 1 species